rnacentral:rRNA from 1 species
UGGGGAAUAUUGCACAAUGGGCGCAAGCCUGAUGCAGCAACGCCGCGUGAACGAUGAAGGUCUUCGGAUCGUAAAGUUCUGUUGCAGGGGAAGAUAAUGACGGUACCCUGUGAGGAAGCCCCGGCUAACUACUUGCCAGCAGCCGCGGUAAUACGUAGGGGGCUAGCGUUAUCCGGAUUUACUGGGCGUAAAGGGUGCGUAGGUGGUCUUUCAAGUCGGUGGUUAAAGGCUACGGCUCAACCGUAGUUAGCCUCCGAAACUGGAAGAAUUGAGUGCAGGAGAGGAAAGUGGAAUUCCCAGUGUAGCGGUGAAAUGCGUAGAUAUUGGGAGGAACACCAGUAGCGAAGGCGGCUUUCUGGAAUGAAACUGAAACUGAGGCACGAAAGCGUGGGUAGCAAACAGG